GACAGAGGGUGCAACCGUUGUUCGGAAUUACUGGGCGUAAAGCGAGUGUAGGCGGUCUGCUAAGUCGGGUGUGAAAGCCCUGGGCUCAACCCAGGAAGUGCACUCGAAACUGGCGGGCUAGAGUAUCGGAGAGGUUGGUGGAAUUCUCGGUGUAGAGGUGAAAUUCGUAGAUAUCGAGAGGAACACCGGUGGCGAAGGCGGCCAACUGGACGAAUACUGACGCUGAGACUCGAAAGCGUGGGGAGCAAACAGG
rnacentral:rRNA from 1 species